ensembl:snRNA U6 U6 spliceosomal RNA
GAACUUAACUGGCAGUCCUCAUAUGCUAACAUUGGAAUGAUACAGAGCUUAGCAUAUCUUCUGUGCAAGGAUAACACACAAAUUCAUUGAAGUAUUUCAUAGUUUU